AUGUUUUAGCCUUUCUCUCAAUACUUCUUCCUAGGCAAGGAGAGGAACCUUAACACUCAAAUUCAGGACAUCUGAGCUUUUAAUUCAUUCACUUAUCUCUGUUUUAUUACAGUCGUCACUUUACGAUCACCAUGCCUUUCAAACAUAGUCUCUGUCUUGCCAUUUUACUGAUAGGCAUCAUCAAUGGGGACAGAGUAACACAGCCUGAACUGACUAAGCAUAUUUAUGGAGAAAAUAAUAUCCUGCUGCCAUGUAAUUUCACAACAAUCGACACAGAUCCUUAUGUUUACUGGUAUCGGCAGAAACCAAAUGGACCGAUUGAGUAUAUGGGACUUCGUAUGCAUAGAUAUCAAACUGAAGCGAAAGCUGAAAAUGGAAGAUUUACAGCCCAGUUUGACAAUGCUAACAGCUUUGUAGUUUUAAAUAUCUCUGCUACCCAGAUUUCUGAUUCAGCCGUUUAUUACUGUGCGCUAAGAGACACAGUAAAAUACUUUCCUGUUAGCACUUUACAAGAACUACAGCAGUGUGGUCCAGAAAAACUUGAUGUUACACUUUAGGAGACUACAUACAACUUGAUUAAUUCAGAAACUGUUAAUGUAUUCAUUUUAAUUUUAUUUGUACCACUGCAGUUUUUGGCAGAACAGUUUACUUUGGGAAAUGUUAAAGCAGAGCAUUACCAGAAUAUUUGUUAUGGAUCUGUAUGAAACUUCACCUCUCUGCAUACCAAUCAGUUGUACAGAUUUUCACAGAAUGUCCAGAUUUUUGUCUCAUAUUUCUGGCCUGUUUCUCAUAAAAUUGUGU